AAGUGGACACGACCAGCACAGCCGAGAUCUUGAAGGAACCUACUCAUCUUAUAGGCCUCCGAUGACGUAGCUCUGAGAGCAAAACCAAACUGUUGUCUUGAGAGCCAGUUGCAAGAGUCCCUCUCAGCAUGAAGCCCAGGAACCAGCUUAGAACUGAAGUCGCUGUUUGAUCUGAGCGUCACUGAAACACUUCAAGUUUGCACGUAUUCUCAUCUCAAAGUUUUACAGGAGUAAUAAAGGUGGUUUAUUACCACA